rnacentral:rRNA from 1 species
GAUGAACGCUAGCGGGAGGCCUAACACGUGCAAGCCGAGCGGUAUUGUUUCUUCGGAAAUGAGAGAGCGGCGUACGGGUGCGGAACACGUGUGCAACCUGCCUUUAUCUGGGGGAUAGCCUUUCGAAAGGAAGAUUAAUACUCCAUAAUAUAUUGAACGGCAUCGUUUAAUAUUGAAAGCUCCGGCGGAUAGAGAUGGGCACGCGCAAGAUUAGCUAGUUGGUGAGGUAACGGCUCACCAAGGCAAUGAUCUUUAGGGGGCCUGAGAGGGUGAUCCCCCACACUGGAACUGAGACACGGACCAGACUCCUACGGGAGGCAGCAGUGAGGAAUAUUGGUCAAUGGGUGCAAGCCUGAACCAGCCAUCCCGCGUGAAGGACGACUGCCCUAUGGGUUGUAAACUUCUUUUGUAUAGGGAUAAACCUUUCCACGUGUGGAAAGCUGAAGGUACUAUACGAAUAAGCACCGGCUAACUCCGUGCCAGCCGCCGCAGUAACAC